rnacentral:lncRNA from 1 species
UAUAUAUAGAGAGCAGGACUGCUCUGCUCUCAAGAGCACGGAGGCUUUCGUGCUCCUAAACCGUUUUGAAUGAUGAAAAUUUUGAAUCGACGAUCGGUUCCGUUAGACUUAAUCUAGCGUAUUUGAAGUUUCUAGAAAAUAAUUUUUGCGAUUUUUUGAUAUCAUUUAUCCAGUGAUCGAAAGGGUUCAAAAUCAAUAAUUUUUAAUGGUUGAUAUCUGCCGUUUUCAAGUUUAACGGUGUAGAAGUAUUCAAAUCAGAUGAAAUUUUGAUAUAAAAUUCUUUAUACUAUCUACAACAAGAUCAAUAUUUAUGAUUGAAAAUUUUAGUGUUAUAUCACCACGUUUUAUAGGAUUUUUAUUUUCAGCCAUUAAAAAUUAUUGAUUUUGAAUCCUUUUGAUUGCUAGGUAAAUGAUAUCGAAAAAUCGCAAAAAUUAUUUUCUAAAAACUUCAAAUAUGCUAGAUCAAGUCUACCGGAGCCAAUCGUCCAUUCGAAAAUUCCAUCAUCGAAAAUAGCUCAGGAGCACAGAAGCCUCUGUGCUCCUGAGAGUACAGCAGUCCUGCUCAUAAUAUAUAUAUAUAUACAGGAGGAAAAAUAAUUAAGAAGCCUUAAGACUUUGUGGAAUUGAAGUUUAGGACUUAAUGCUUUGAGCCUUUGAUACUAUAUAUAUAAAAUAUAUAUUUUUCACAACAAAAAAACAAAAUUUUAACUAUCCGAUAAUAAAUAUUUUAAUUUUUUAUGUUUAAAUAGUUUGUCGAGUGAAAAAGUACGAAGUAAACGCUACGCAGGAUGACGUGCUUUAUCAUAAAUAAGGUGGGAAUUAUUUUUUAAAAGUUGUAGGAUUGAGUCAUCUCCAAAAUUUCACAUCAAGUAUUGAAUAGGGAGUGAACUCUGUAUAAAUAUUUUAGUGCUAGCAUGUUUUGAAAUUCUGGUUCAAUUCAAAAUACUAUUUUUUGGUAGCUUAAGUUAUUGAAAAAUAAUGAUGGUUUAAUUUCAUAUAAUUUAACAAUAUAUCAAACAGAAUCUAGCCAAUUCAAAAACUUAAGCUUAUUAGGUCUGAGCCUAUCAAUAAAAAUCAGUAUUUACUCUCUGAUUAAAAGUCCACUGUGGGACAUGCAGGUCUAAAGCCCAUUCUUAUUGUAAAAUUCUAUUGCAAUUAAUAACUUAGAAUUGACCAUUUUAGACUAAAGUUUCCUCUCAAUUAGCUUGUUACAUGCAUGUGGAACAUUUUGAUAUUAUUAGGAAUGCAAAUCGGGCAGAUCCGGAGGCAGAAGGGGUUGUCCACCUCGCGGCCUAUUUUCUUGGUGAGAUAAGAUGGAUUAAGGACGGUUUGAAUUUUUAUCCUUUUUUUUUUUUUCUCCACUUACCGCUUAUUCAGGGCAAAUCAGAAUAAGAAUAGAUUUUUGACAAAUUUUAGGCGGAUCAAGACGGAUCAAAGAAAGAAAGGGAUAUCCCACCUAGCUCCCGCUCUAUUUCUUAGCAGAUCGGGACGUAUUCAGAGCGAGUUAUCAUUUUUUUUCCUUAUUUGUGGCUCUCAUUUACCGUUGCGUUCAAGACGAAUCUGGACAGAAUCUCCACCAAUCGGGAUUCAUCUGCAUACCUAGAUAUAUAUUAUAUAUCAUCAUUGUUGGAAGCGUGAUUUACUUUGAUACCACUUGUAGAAAGCGUGAUUUUCCUUGAUACAAAUUGUUGGAAUCGGUAUUUGUGCUGAUACCAAUUAUGUAACCUAAGAUCUAAAGUAGAACAAAAUAAUAUAGAGAAGAGGUAUUGAAGGAGAAAGAAGAUAACUAAACUAAUAUUUUAUUAAUAAAAAGUAAUUAAUUAUAUUCUGGACAACAUCCAUAUAGUCAUGUCUACUAUAUAUUCUUCAUCUAAUUAACACAUGCCUAACUAUGGGUUACAUUUCCAGCUAAGUUUAUUUCUAAAUAAAAUAAACGAAGCGGGUAGCGUGCUACCUAUCUCUCAAAAAAAAAAAAAAUGCCUAACUAUAUAUAGCCAUCAAAUCAUAACAGAUGAUAAGUUUGAAUUAUUAUUUCCAACAAUCAUAGUCACAAGAGCAUCUAUGUAAACUAGACAUAGAUGCUAAUAUUUUGUUUUAAGAGAUAGGUAGCAUCCUAGCUACUUCGUUUAUUUUAUUUAAAAAUAAGCUGAAAAUGUGAAUCAAUUAGGAUUCGAACUUAGGACACGAUAUCAACCACUAAGUCCUUUGCCACUUGCGCUAGGGACGAUUGGUCAUAGAUGCUAAUAUAUAUUCAAGGGAGAAAAAUAUGGUCCGAUUGACCUUUCAUCUCUUCACAUCCACCUGAUGCUGAGUGGCCGACACUUAUCUUCCAAAUGAAGCUACAAUCAACUACUAGCUACUUAAUUUACAUCUCCAAAACACUAGUACAAUAAUAGAUGGCUUGACGAUGUUCGCGCAUGCAAUGUUUAUCUUUGAUUUGGCUUCUGAAACAGUUUUUUUUCUAUUUUAAAAAUCUAAAAAAUUUGCAGCUUAAUGUUGCUGUGAGUAGAAGCUGGAACGUAAUCUUUAAGAUAGAAAUUCUAGUUUUAAAGUUUUACUACUACUUCAACUUCUAAAGCAUGUAUGCAGAUCAGCAUUUGCUCGAAUAGUUCUAAUCAAACAAUAUUGUUUCAAAAUAUUUCUGGUGACCUAAGAAUUCGGGUAUCACAAAAGCUUCCCAAGAUACCUUUGAAUUAAUGUUUUCUAUAUAUCAUUAUACAUCCUCUUACCUUAAGAUAGGGAUAAGACUUUUGGAAUAGUAUGUGGGCCUCAUGAACACAUGGUUCAAUAUUAGCCAUUUAUUUUUGUAAGAGGUUUACCAAGUAAUUAAUUACAUACAAAUGUUUAGUUAAUUAAUUAUCAGGUUCUAUGUAGUUGACAAAAGAAUGUUACCUAAAAAUAACCAAUAUAUAUAUAUAUAUAUAUAUAUAUAUAGUAUAUACUAUACUAUACUUGUAUAUUAUGAUACUAAUAUAUAGUAAUAUAAGAGCCGAGUGAGGGCCUACUAUGCUAUCGGACAGCACGGACGCCUUCCGUUGCUCUCGCACUCCAGCUUUUUCGAUGCUUUUCCCGACUAUCGAGCAUCGUUCGAUGGCUCCGUUAAAACUUGAUCGUCAGCACUAUUUGGUACAUUGAUACCUAGAAACAUAGACAUUUUUAAUUAUGUUUCGAUAUCAUUGCCUUAGCUGCAUCGAGAUUGGGCUCCAAAGAUCAACCAGUAAUUUCAAAGGCCGUAGUGAGCCGUUUGAAGCUUUUAACGAGUGGUCUAGAUAAAUAUCACAAUCACCGGUGAAUUUGGUUGAUAAAUAAAUUCUUAAUAUCAUAAAACAAGUCAAUAUCUUGAUUUAAAAUGUUUCAAUGUCAUCAUUAUUACAUUUGUGUAAGAUUUUUACAUUUAUCAGCGGGCGUUCGAUUUUGUUGCCCCUUAGCUUCACUAGGCCACAAUUGAUAUCGUAAAAUCAUUAAAUUUAUGUUUCUAGGCUACUCCAAAUACGCUUAGAUCAAGUUUAACGGAGCGCAUCGACUUCACCACUUCGAAAGCUCGGCGAACCUAUCGAAAACGAGCUGAAUAGCACGGAAGGCUCUGUGCUUCGAGUAGCCGAUAGUAGCCUCACCUGCUUUACUAUUUUUUAGCUAUACUAUAUAUAUAUAUAUAUAUAUAUAUAUAUAUGCAGUAAUAGUUACUAUAACAAAUCUUGUACUUAAAGCACUUUAAACAAUAAUUAGCGACGUUUCAAAACGUUGGCAAGAAUAACCUUGACACUUGUAGAAGUGUUAAGUAGAGAGUUGUUAAGUAAACAUGUUGGGAUAAAUAUACCGACGUUUUAAUAUAGCGUCGAAAAAUUUUUAUCAGUAUUUAAUAAAAAUAUGUUUAUUGGCGAUGCUUAAUCAUGAUAUGGGCACAUACAAAAUAUUGACGACGUUAAAAUAGAGUGUCGUUUCAAAAAUAUCGUCUAAAAUGUAUUUUAUUGUAAUAAGUCUCUGAUUGUAUCUUAAUUGAGAGGAUCGAGCAUGUUUGGCAUAUUCCUAUAUAUCUCACUGAUUAACAAAAAAUAAAAAAAAUAAAGAUAGUAAGUAAGAAUUAUAGUUACAUAAAUAUAAUACUCCAACAUAAAAAGAAAAAGAAAAUUAAAAGAGAGAGAAAAAUAAAAAAGAUCUAUCAACUAAUAUUCUAGUUCCUUACUCAAGCUUCUUUAGCUCCUACUCUUUACCAAACCACCAUGAGGAAUAUGCAAAAUUUUCAUGUAUAUAUACUCACAUUUUCAAUAAUCAAAGCACAUAUAUAUACAUUAUUUGAUUAUUUUUAUGAUCUUCACAUCAUGGAUGCUAUUCCAUAUUUAAUUCUUGGGAAAUUGAUAUUGACACACAAAUAACUGUACAUGUGCCACUUUGUUUGCAUUAUUGAAUUGGUUGAUAGGGAAAUGACAAUUAAUUUCAUUCAUGUGAUAUAGCUCUUUACACCAAAUAAUUAAAUAUGGUCUAACAACAGCAAUAUGUGGUUGGAGUUAUUACAGUGAUCCCUAGAGAGAUAAGUUGUUAAGGGAUUUUUUUUUUUUUUUUAAAGGAAUAUACCCAUGUCUCAAUCCAAGCUUCUUAGGUCUCAAUUCCCCUCGGAUUCAAUUAAUUAAGGAUGCAAAUGGAUGGAUCGGGUUGGUGGAGCUCCCAUAUCGAUCCGUUCCAAAUGAGGUGCAUGGUAAUGGGGCAAACAAAUUUAUUUUAAAAAAAAUAAUCCUUUCUAAAUCUGCGUUGAUCUACUAAGAGAAUGGAGCGAGAGAUGGGACUCCUUCCCUCUUUUGAUCUGUCCUGAUUAGCUAAAAAUCUAUAAAAAAUUCUCUUCUGCCCAUCUCGUCUUGAAUGGAGCAAAAAAUAUGAUAAAAAUCAACUAGCUCCGAAUCUAACCUGAUCUGUCAAGAAAAUGGAGAAGAAGGUGCAGGAACUCCUCCAGUCCCCAGAUCCACCCUAGAUCUGCCCAAUUUGCAUCCGUAAAUUCAACACUUGCAUGUGUCUUCUACUAUUAUAUAUUCCUUUGGGGAAGAGUAAUAGGAAUCCUAAAGUAUCCUGUUGAUGAGUUGUAGGAUAUCGAUUCCCUUUUUUUAAUUAAAUGCUAGGUCUCACUAUUGCAUACAUAUUUAUUAUUGUAGCCUUUGGAGCAAUAUUAAAAGUGAUAUUUAAAAGAGUUGGACCUUUGUUUCUUAGGCAGUAACACAAUAAGUGCUUUUAGAGCCUAAUUUAAGAGACCAUGAUGAUAUAAAUGCCAAAAAACAUAUUUUUUGGAUCAUAUAUAUUAGUACAUCAUUCUCAAAGCCAUUUUGUUCUCUUUAAACACAUAAUUAGAUUCUCUCUCACUUGCCAUGGCUCUCCAAGUUGCAUGCUAGGGGUAUAUAUAUAUAUAUAUAUAUCAGUGAAUGUGUUAAUGCUAUAAAGACCAAGGAUCAUCAAUUUCCAAGUGAUUGCAUAACUAGUACCCUUUUUUUAAACAUUAAUGUGUUUGUGGGUUCAUAUAUAGGCAUACGUAUUAUGUACCUACAUACAAACAUACAUACGCACCUAAGUGAGCAUAUAUUCCUUUUCAUUUAACUUGUGCAUGUAUAGAAUUAUUAUUUUCUUUUGCAUUAUGAUUAAUUGGCUUGGGUGCAUCAAUGGUUUGUACGGUACACCAACAUAUAGAAUCUACUACGAUCUUUCGCUCUUAUGAAAUAUCCGUACGUGCAAGAGUUAAGGGAAAUGCCAUCGCACAAAAGAUUCUCCCUGGAUUAUUAUAUUGCAUGUGUAGAAAAAUAUUAAAAAAAUAAAAAAAAAUUCUCUACAUGCAUUAUUAAUUACUAGAGAAACAUUAAUGCUGGGUGACUUGUAGUAAUAUUUGAGCCAAAAUUAUAGAAGGAAAAUACUUAGGGUUGCUCAUAAUUUUGCCUUGAUGUAUUGGUACUUGUGAUGUGGAGGUUUUAAUUAAUUGGUUAUAUAUAUAUAUAUAUAUAUAUGAAUUAGGCUGGAAUACUAUUAAUAGUAAAACGUUCUUUUUGCUAUCAAGUUUUUAACCCUUGGAUGAAAAAUUGUAGGGUCAGGAUGAUAUUAGUCGGUUAGAGUUGAGUGGUCCCCCUAGGGUUGAGUGGUCUCCACUGGGUUAUAGUAUUUAAUCCAAUGGUUAAAAAUAAUGAAAAGAGUUGAUCCAAAGCCUAAAAAACUGGUAGCAACAAUAGAAUUUUGCUACUAAUAGUAGCCCAGUCCAACUCUCUCUCUCUCUAUAUAUAUAUAUAGAGAAGAGAGCAGAUGAUGAGAUUGAGAGAGAUAGAGACGAGAGACCGCGUGAGAGGGCCGACGGUGAAACUGAGGGAGGAGAGAGAUAAGGUGCUGUGCUCUCGGGAGUACGGAGGCCUCCGUGCUCCUGAUGUCCAUUUUCGAUGAUGGAAUUUUUGAAUCGACGUCGCUCCGUCCAGACUUGAUCUAGCGUGAUUUGAAGUUUUUAGAAAUAUUUUUGUGAAUUUUUGAUAUCGAUUACCUGCAAUCGAAAAGAUUCAAAAUCAUAAUUUUUAACGGUGACAAUAAAAGUUCUAUAAAAAAGUGGUGAUAUAGCAUUAAAAUUUCGCAUCAGAAAUAUUGAUCUUGUGAUAGAUAUAUAAAGAAUUGGUAAUCAAAAUUAUCUGCAUUUGAUACUUUCUAUAUCGUUAACUUGAACGGCAUAAUCAACCAUUAGAAAAUUAUUGAUUUUUGAUCCUUUCGAUCAUUAGCCGUAGAUGAUAUCAAAAAUCUCUAAAUUAUUUUUUAGAUACUUCAAAAUGCCCGACGACUUUCCACAGUUAACGAGACGAUCGUCGAUUCUGAAAAUUUCAUCAUCCGAAAACGCCUUCCGCUGCUCCUGAGAGCACAGCAACCCAUACUUAAUAUAUAUAUAUAUAUAUAAUAUAUAUAGAAAAUAGAUUGACUCAUACUUCUAUAGUCGGGAGCUCCUUGGUAUUACAGCUUUUGUUCAAUUUUAGGGUGUUCAAUUAACGGAUCCACAUCGUUAAAAUAUGAUCUAGGAUAUAUGAAAUUCUUAGAAAUAUCUACAAACCUCCACAAAUAUAUAUAUAUAAAUAUAUAUAUAUAUAUUAUAUAUAUAUAUAUUAUAUAUAUAUAUAAUAUAACUAAUUAUUAUAUAUAGUAUAUUAAUAUAUAUGCAGCAGGGUGCUAGUGCUCUAGAAGCACGGAGGCCUCCGUGCUCCUGAAGCCGUUUUCGAAUGAUGGAAUAACUUCGAAUCGGACGAUCGGCUCUGUUAGACUUAAUCUAGCGCAUUUGAAGUUUCUAGAAAAUAAUUUUUGCGAUUUUUUGAUAUCAUUUACCUAGUGAUCGAAAGGUUUCAAAAUCUAUAAUUUUUAAUGGUUGAUAUCUGCCGUUUUCAAGUUUAACGGUGUAGAAGUAUUCAAAUCAGAUGAAAUUUUGAUACAAAAUUCUUUAUACUAUCUACAACAAGAUCAAUAUUUCUGAUCGAAAAUUUUAGUACUAUAUCACCACUUUUUAUAGAAUUUUUAUUUUCAGCCGUUAAAAAAUAUUUAUUUUGAAUCCUUUCGAUUACUAGGUAAAUAAUAUCGAAAAAUCGCAAAAAUUAUUUUCUAGAAACUUUAAAUACGCUAGAUCAAGUUUAACGGAACCGAUCGUCGAUUUGGUAAUUCCAUCAUCGAAAACGGCUCAGGAGUACGGAGACCUCCGUGCUCCUGAGAGCACAACAGUCCUGCUUUAUAUAUAUAUAUAUAUAGAGGUAAUAUUGUGGAGGAUUUGUAGUAGUAUUUUGCGUUAGAAGUUAAUUAUAUGUGAACAAUCUCACACUGUAUGAUUAAUAAGAAAGUAAAUUAAUUGUUGGAACAAAUAUUAAUGCACCUAACCUAAUAUGCUGAAACUUUUAGGCCUGGUGACUUUCAUUAGAUAUGUCACACAUUUUUGGAUUCAUGUAGGUUAAUAAUUAACGAUAAUACCAGUUUGUCACAUCUUCUGUAAUAAAUUAUCUUGAUCAACUAUGGGUUAAUUAAUAGAAAAGUGAAAAAAAAAGAAGAAAUUCUUAUAAGAGCAAUGGCCUAUUGGAAGUGACAAUUUUCAACUUCUAGUCACAUGUUCUUGAAAAGAGGUGAUAAUUAAUAAUUAAUUAAUUAAUUAAUUAAUCAAUCCUGACC